rnacentral:lncRNA from 1 species
GAUGAGAAGCAUGACUUGUGGAAAGAGUUGAAGAUCUGGUUGAUCUUUUAGAGUAGGUGGCUAAAGUUACACAUGUCUAAUCAGGGCAGAAAAACUGAUAAGUAUCUUGACAGCUAGCAUCAGGGUGAUUUCUAGGACAGAGGUAAAAGCCAAUAUUUUGGAGUCUUUUUUCUGCACUUUUGGAGCUUCUACACUUAGUUUGGCUCUUGGAGUGUCUGAAUCUUGCUGCAAGGUCGACACUUCCUGCUCCUGGGACUGGCAGAUGGUGUUGCUUUUCUUGGGUAUGGGCUGGCUUUGGGAACAGUACAAAUAAAUCAAGUGCAAAGGAGACUUCCUUGGAGGUACCGGCCUUCUAAGUGGUGUUUGCAAAUACAAGUCCUGUUGUGAAAGAGGUGAGGAGAAAGGAGUAGGAAGGCACAGAGGAUGUAACGGGCAAAAACAAAUAAGUGAGGUAGUAAAAAGAAUGAAUCUAAUGGCUUCACCUGACUUAGGUGCAGUUUUAAGGGGCCUGACUUAGGCCUGGGGACUUAUGUUUUUAGUUGGGCUCUGUUGGCCUUUUUGAUGCGGGAGUGAUGAAUGUAAGCAGGAAUUCCGUCUACUUUCAGAGCCAUUGGCGUCGUGACGAUGACGGUGUGAGGUCUUUUCUAAGCAGGAGUGGGUCUUUCUUUUUGGAACUUUUUAACAAACACUAGGUCUCCUGGCUGGAAGGAAUGGCAGGAUUUUGGUCAGUAAUUGGAUUGGGAUGGGUUCCUCGAACAAGUGGCAGGAUGAUAUCUUGUACCUGUUGGAGAGACGAUAGGUACUGUAACAAAUUAGUUUGUGAUAUUUCUGCUAAUUUGGCAUCUCUUAGCUUAGGCAAGAUAGGUGGCGCCUUCUUAUAGAUGAUUUCAAAAGGUGAGAAAUUAGCCUGGUAAGGGAUGCACCUUACUUUAAGUAGGGCUAAAGGAAGGAGACUUACUUAAUUUACACUGUUUUUUUAAGAUUAAUUUUGUAGGAGUGUUUUUUAGGGUGUGGUUCAUGCGUUCUACUUGUCUGGAGCUCCGGGGUUGAUAAGCACAAUGGAGCUUCUGUUGAAUGUUUAACACCUUACUGACUGACUGACUGAGCUAUAGGCGAGGGGAAGGCUGGUCUAUUAUCAGAGUUUAUGGCAGCAGACAGCCUAUAUUGAGGGAUGAUUUCAUUGGGUAAAAACUUAACUACUGUGUUGGUGGUUUCGUUUUUGGUAGCAAAUGCCUUAGUCUAUCUGGAGAAGGUGUCUACUAGUACUAGAAGGUAUUUGUACUUAGCCUGGUGUGGUUUGACUUCUCUAAACUGAAUUUCUUACUUUUUUCUUGGCGAGUUUUUUCAGAGACAGUGGCCUGGGCUGGGUUUAGGACUUUGUUUGGCAUUUACUUGGGCGCAGGUUGUGCACUGGAGAGCUGCUUAAUCUCUUAGGCUAUGAAGAUGGGGGAUCUUAAAAUGCCUCCGGAGGAGCUGAGGUAACUUUGCUCUUCUUAAAUGGGUGGUAGACUGUAGGUAACUGGUUUAAGUUCAGGGUAUGAAGAUUCCAGAGUCAGGAAGAAUCUACUAACUUUCCUGAUUUUUAUUGGCUCUGAGAUCUGAAGCCAGUUUUUCUGUUGUUGUUGAGUAUACGGGAUUGUCAGGCAGAUCUGGCUGUGGAAAGGAGACUGUGGGCAGCAAGUUUGGAGGCAUGACUGAAAGUCUGGCAGCGACCUGAGCUGCUGAAUCAGCUUUCUGGUUACUAUGGGCAACGGCCGUGUUUUCUUUUUGAUGUCCUUUGCAGUGGAUCACAGCUACCUGCUGAGACAGACAAGGGGAGGGGAUCCAGCGAUGGGAUCAGUCAGAUGCCUGCCUGGCCGCUCCCCGUGAGGGGACUUGGGCUCCUCUUAGCAUUGGCAGGCCGGUAUAAACUUCCGGCUCAGAUCGAGCUAUGCCUGAUGCUGCCUUAAGCCUUAUGAGGUCGCCAUGGAACCGCAGAAACUCCUGGAGGGCAGAGCUGUGUCUGCCAUCUUCAUCAUUGCAUUACCACCACCCAGCACAGUGCCUGGCACAAAAGAGUUGCUCAAUAAAUAAAUCAGGAUGAAUGGAUAAAUACAUGGAUAGGCACUUUGAACUACAGAUGAGUUUAAAUACUUUGUGUUUUUCUUAGUCAAACAUGUGCAAUUAAGCAUGUGAUAAAUGAUAUGAUGACCGCA